AUUGAACGCUGGCGGCAGGCCUAACACAUGCAAGUCGAGCGGAUGAAGAGAGCUUGCUCUCUGAUUUAGCGGCGGACGGGUGAGUAAUGCCUAGGAAUCUGCCUGGUAGUGGGGGAUAACGUUCCGAAAGGAACGCUAAUACCGCAUACGUCCUGCGGGAGAAAGCAGGGGACCUUCGGGCCUUGCGCUAUCAGAUGAGCCUAGGUCGGAUUAGCUAGUUGGUGAGGUAAUGGCUCACCAAGGCUACGAUCCGUAACUGGUCUGAGAGGAUGAUCAGUCACACUGGAACUGAGACACGGUCCAGACUCCUACGGGAGGCAGCAGUGGGGAAUAUUGGACAAUGGGCGAAAGCCUGAUCCAACCAUGCCGCGUGUGUGAAGAAGGUCUUCGGAUUGUAAAGCACUUUAAGUUGGGAGGAAGGGCAGUAAGUUAAUACCUUGCUGUUUUGACGUUACUGACAGAAUAAGCACCGGCUAACUUCGUGCCAGCCGCCGCCGUAAGAC
rnacentral:rRNA from 1 species